AGAGUUUGAUCCUGGCUCAGAUUGAACGCUGGCGGCAGGCCUAACACAUGCAAGUCGAGCGGCAGCACGGGAAGCUUGCUUCCUGGUGGCGAGCGGCGGACGGGUGAGUAAUGCAUAGGAAUCUACCCGGUAGUGGGGGAUAACCUGGGGAAACUCAGGCUAAUACCGCAUACGUCCUACGGGAGAAAGCGGGGGCUCUUCGGACCUCGCGCUAUCGGAUGAGCCUAUGCCGGAUUAGCUAGUUGGUGAGGUAAUGGCCCACCAAGGCGACGAUCCGUAGCUGGUCUGAGAGGAUGAUCAGCCACAUCGGGACUGAGACACGGCCCGAACUCCUACGGGAGGCAGCAGUGGGGAAUAUUGGACAAUGGGGGCAACCCUGAUCCAGCCAUGCCGCGUGUGUGAAGAAGGCUUUCGGGUUGUAAAGCACUUUCAGUGGGGAAGAAGGCCUUGGGCUUAAUACGCUUGAGGAAGGACAUCACCCACAGAAGAAGCACCGGCUAACUCCGUGCCAGCAGCCGCGGUAAUACGGAGGGUGCGAGCGUUAAUCGGAAUUACUGGGCGUAAAGCGCGCGUAGGCGGCUAAGUAAGCCGGUUGUGAAAGCCCCGGGCUCAACCUGGGAACGGCAUCCGGAACUGUUUAGCUAGAGUGCAGGAGAGGAAGGUAGAAUUCCCGGUGUAGCGGUGAAAUGCGUAGAGAUCGGGAGGAAUACCAGUGGCGAAGGCGGCCUUCUGGACUGACACUGACGCUGAGGUGCGAAAGCGUGGGUAGCAAACAGGAUUAGAUACCCUGGUAGUCCACGCCGUAAACGAUGUCGACUAGCCGUUGGGGUCCUCGAGACCUUUGUGGCGCAGUUAACGCGAUAAGUCGACCGCCUGGGGAGUACGGCCGCAAGGUUAAAACUCAAAUGAAUUGACGGGGGCCCGCACAAGCGGUGGAGCAUGUGGUUUAAUUCGAUGCAACGCGAAGAACCUUACCUACCCUUGACAUCGACAGAAGCCGAGAGAGAUCUUGGUGUGCCUUCGGGAACUGUCAGACAGGUGCUGCAUGGCUGUCGUCAGCUCGUGUUGUGAAAUGUUGGGUUAAGUCCCGUAACGAGCGCAACCCUUGUCCUUAUUUGCCAGCACGUAAUGGUGGGAACUCUAAGGAAACUGCCGGUGACAAACCGGAGGAAGGUGGGGACGACGUCAAGUCAUCAUGGCCCUUACGGGUAGGGCUACACACGUGCUACAAUGGCCGGUACAAAGGGUUGCGAAGCCGCGAGGUGGAGCUAAUCCCGAAAAGCCGGUCUCAGUCCGGAUCGGAGUCUGCAACUCGACUCCGUGAAGUCGGAAUCGCUAGUAAUCGUGAAUCAGAAUGUCACGGUGAAUACGUUCCCGGGCCUUGUACACACCGCCCGUCACAUCAUGGGAGUGGACUGCACCAGAAGUAGUUAGUCUAACCCUCGGGAGGACGAUUACCACGGUGUGGUCAAUGACUGGGGUGAAGUCGUAACAAGGUAACCGUA
rnacentral:rRNA from 1 species